UCGAGCUGCUUCCGCGGCGAGAG
rnacentral:snRNA from 1 species